rnacentral:piRNA from 1 species
UCCCAUACGUUGACGCCGGUGCCCUUC